GGUCUUAUAUUCAAUAAUGAUAUUAAAUUGCAAAUUUAAAGGAAAGAUUUAUUCUUUAAGGCUU
rnacentral:tRNA from 1 species